rnacentral:piRNA from 1 species
UAAGUUUCAGUGUCUCUGGUUUUAUGUG